CCACAUGGCCUCUGGCUGCUGGCUGUCCUUUGCCUCAUUCUACUACCAUCCCAGUGUCUUUAGCCUUGCAAAACAGCCUGCCCAUCCCGACCGCACCCUGUGGUAAGCACUCAGGAGGCUGAAGCAAGAUGAUCAUCAUAGUGAGUUCAAGAGCGUCUGGACUAUCAAAGUGUCUUGACAAGAACUAACCGGGCCUCAAGCAUCGAUUGCAACCUUGGAUCCCAGAUCUAAUCUCCAAGAAAUGGGGAGAUCCACCAUAACUGUUGGACCAAAUGCAACAGAGAGAGAAAGAGAGAGAGAGAGAGAGAGCAUUCAUUACUCUCUACUUUCUCACUUUGGAUGCAGUGUGGUCAGCCACUUCUGUUCCUGCCACCAAACCUUACCCAGCAUCGUGACAGACAGGAUGGUAUCUCCUGGAACUGUGAUCCAAAACAAACUCUUCACUACAAUGAUCUUAUCAGUUCCAGAAGGGUAAGAGUCCAUCACCAUCAUAGUAGAACCAUCCUAGUAGCAAGCAGGCAUGGUGACUGCAGCAAGGAUACUGAGAGCUUGAACCACAAGCAUGGAGUGGAGAGAACUGGGAAUGAUGCAAAUCUUCAAACUCUCAAGGCCCAUCUCCAGUGACAUACUUCCUCCAACAAAUCCACACCUCCUAACCACCCCCAAACAGUGCCACCAUCCGGGGAACAAGUGUUCAAAUACAUAAC